GAUCGGGGUUCAGUAGCCGAUACCGUACGAUAACAUUAAUCGGCUCGCGACAUAAACAUCGUCUGCACUUCUCUCUGUUCAUCUGCACGUCAUCAACAUCAUUUUACACCACCUGCCGCAACGAUACAUCUGGCCACGUCCGUUGCAAAUCUUCAACUUUAUUAAAAAUAGAAUCUACGUCCACCAUCUCUUGUUUGCAAGGACUCUUUAUGCUACAUUGAUAUGUUUCAUUACUUCUCUAUUCUCAA